GCGGACAUAGCUCAGUUGGGAGAGCGUCAGACUGACGUCAGACUGAAGUCAACUUCAUUCACUUAAUCUGAAGGUCGUGUGUUCAAUCCACACUGGCCGCA
rnacentral:tRNA from 2 species